AAACCAGCACCUCAAGUGGUCAGGAUGAUUAUUGGGCCUAAAGCAUCCGUAGCCGGCUCUGUAAGUUUUCGGUUAAAUCUGUACGCUUAACGUACAGGCUGCCGGAAAUACUGCAGAGCUAGGGAGUGGGAGAGGUAGACGGUACUCGGGAGGAAGGGGUAAAAUGCUUUGAUCUCUCGAUGACCACCUGUGGCGAAGGCGGUCUACCAGAACACGUCCGACGGUGAGGGAUGAAAGCUGGGGGAGCAAACCGGAUUAGAAACCCGAGUAGUCC
rnacentral:rRNA from 1 species